CUGACCCAGGCGCUGAAGGCGGCCGGGGACGGGCACCUCCUCGCGGCCGACCUGGUGGGCCCGCCCGCCGCCCGCCCCUUCAC
rnacentral:tRNA from 1 species